rnacentral:tRNA from 1 species
AGGGUUGUAGUUAAUUAUAACAUUUGGGUUGCAUUCAAAAAGUAUUGAUUUUUAUCAAUCAACCUUA